GUACACAAAAAUGCACAUAUUGUGAGCUCGAUGAGUAGGGCGGGACACGUGGUAUCCUGUCUGAAUAUGGGGGGACCAUCCUCCAAGGCUAAAUACUCCUGACUGACCGAUAGUGAACCAGUACCGUGAGGGAAAGGCGAAAAGAACCCCGGCGAGGGGAGUGAAAAAGAACCUGAAACCGUGUACGUACAAGCAGUGGGAGCCUCUUAAUGGGGUGACUGCGUACCUUUUGUAUAAUGGGUCAGCGACUUAUAUUCUGUAGCAAGGUUAACCGAAUAGGGGAGCCGAAGGGAAACCGAGUCUUAACUGGGCGUUAAGUUGCAGGGUAUAGACCCGAAACCCGGUGAUCUAGCCAUGGGCAGGUUGAAGGUUGGGUAACACUAACUGGAGGACCGAACCGACUAAUGUUGAAAAAUUAGCGGAUGACUUGUGGCUGGGGGUGAAAGGCCAAUCAAACCGGGAGAUAGCUGGUUCUCCCCGAAAGCUAUUUAGGUAGCGCCUCGUGAAUUCAUCUCCGGGGGUAGAGCACUGUUUCGGCAAGGGGGUCAUCCCGACUUACCAACCCGAUGCAAACUGCGAAUACCGGAGAAUGUUAUCACGGGAGACACACGGCGGGUGCUAACGUCCGUCGUGAAGAGGGAAACAACCCAGACCGCCAGCUAAGGUCCCAAAGUCAUGGUUAAGUGGGAAACGAUGUGGGAAGGCCCAGACAGCCAGGAUGUUGGCUUAGAAGCAGCCAUCAUUUAAAGAAAGCGUAAUAGCUCACUGGUCGAGUCGGCCUGCGCGGAAGAUGUAACGGGGCUAAACCAUGCACCGAAGCUGCGGCAGCGACACUAUGUGUUGUUGGGUAGGGGAGCGUUCUGUAAGCCUGUGAAGGUGGCCUGUGAGGGUUGCUGGAGGUAUCAGAAGUGCGAAUGCUGACAUAAGUAACGAUAAAGCGGGUGAAAAGCCCGCUCGCCGGAAGACCAAGGGUUCCUGUCCAACGUUAAUCGGGGCAGGGUGAGUCGACCCCUAAGGCGAGGCCGAAAGGCGUAGUCGAUGGGAAACAGGUUAAUAUUCCUGUACUUGGUGUUACUGCGAAGGGGGGACGGAGAAGGCUAUGUUGGCCGGGCGACGGUUGUCCCGGUUUAAGCGUGUAGGCUGGUUUUCCAGGCAAAUCCGGAAAACCAAGGCUGAGGCGUGAUGACGAGGCACUACGGUGCUGAAGCGACAAAUGCCCUGCUUCCAGGAAAAGCCUCUAAGCAUCAGGUAACAUCAAAUCGUACCCCAAACCGACACAGGUGGUCAGGUAGAGAAUACCAAGGCGCUUGAGAGAACUCGGGUGAAGGAACUAGGCAAAAUGGUGCCGUAACUUCGGGAGAAGGCACGCUGAUAUGUAGGUGAAGCGACUUGCUCGUGGAGCUGAAAUCAGUCGAAGAUACCAGCUGGCUGCAACUGUUUAUUAAAAACACAGCACUGUGCAAACACGAAAGUGGACGUAUACGGUGUGACGCCUGCCCGGUGCCGGAAGGUUAAUUGAUGGGGUUAGCGGUAACGCGAAGCUCUUGAUCGAAGCCCCGGUAAACGGCGGCCGUAACUAUAACGGUCCUAAGGUAGCGAAAUUCCUUGUCGGGUAAGUUCCGACCUGCACGAAUGGCGUAAUGAUGGCCAGGCUGUCUCCACCCGAGACUCAGUGAAAUUGAACUCGCUGUGAAGAUGCAGUGUACCCGCGGCAAGACGGAAAGACCCCGUGAACCUUUACUAUAGCUUGACACUGAACAUUGAGCCUUGAUGUGUAGGAUAGGUGGGAGGCUUUGAAGUGUGGACGCCAGUCUGCAUGGAGCCGACCUUGAAAUACCACCCUUUAAUGUUUGAUGUUCUAACGUUGGCCCGUAAUCCGGGUUGCGGACAGUGUCUGGUGGGUAGUUUGACUGGGGCGGUCUCCUCCUAAAGAGUAACGGAGGAGCACGAAGGUUGGCUAAUCCUGGUCGGACAUCAGGAGGUUAGUGCAAUGGCAUAAGCCAGCUUGACUGCGAGCGUGACGGCGCGAGCAGGUGCGAAAGCAGGUCAUAGUGAUCCGGUGGUUCUGAAUGGAAGGGCCAUCGCUCAACGGAUAAAAGGUACUCCGGGGAUAACAGGCUGAUACCGCCCAAGAGUUCAUAUCGACGGCGGUGUUUGGCACCUCGAUGUCGGCUCAUCACAUCCUGGGGCUGAAGUAGGUCCCAAGGGUAUGGCUGUUCGCCAUUUAAAGUGGUACGCGAGCUGGGUUUAGAACGUCGUGAGACAGUUCGGUCCCUAUCUGCCGUGGGCGCUGGAGAACUGAGGGGGGCUGCUCCUAGUACGAGAGGACCGGAGUGGACGCAUCACUGGUGUUCGGGUUGUCAUGCCAAUGGCACUGCCCGGUAGCUAAAUGCGGAAGAGAUAAGUGCUGAAAGCAUCUAAGCACGAAACUUGC
rnacentral:rRNA from 1 species